rnacentral:rRNA from 1 species
GAGACCAUACCAUAUUGAAAACAGGUUCUCUUCCCAUCACCGAAGUUAAACAAUAUCAGGCCAGGUCAGUACUUGGAAUGGUGACCACUUGGGAACACCGGGUGUUGUAGGCU